CAGGCCUAACACAUGCAAGUCGAACGGUAGCAGGAGAAAGCUUGCUUUCUUGCUGACGAGUGGCGGACGGGUGAGUAAUGCUUGGGAAUCUGGCUUAUGGAGGGGGAUAACUACGGGAAACUGUAGCUAAUACCGCGUAGUGUCGAGAGACGAAAGUGCGGGACCGAAAGGCCGCAUGCCAUGAGAUGAGCCCAAGUGGGAUUAGGUAGUUGGUGGGGUAAAGGCCUACCAAGCCCGCGAUCUCUAGCUGGUCUGAGAGGAUGGCCAGCCACACUGGAACUGAGACACGGUCCAGACUCCUACGGGAGGCAGCAGUGGGGAAUAUUGCGCAAUGGGGGGAACCCUGACGCAGCCAUGCCGCGUGAAUGAAGAAGGCCUUCGGGUUGUAAAGUUCUUUCGGUAUUGAGGAAGGAGUGUAUGUUAAUAGCAUACAUUAUUGACGUUAAAUACAGAAGAAGCACCGGCUAACUCCGUGCCAGCAGCCGCGGUAAUACGGAGGGUGCGAGCGUUAAUCGGAAUAACUGGGCGUAAAGGGCACGCAGGCGGUUAUUUAAGUGAGGUGUGAAAGCCCCGGGCUUAACCUGGGAAUUGCAUUUCAGACUGGGUAACUAGAGUACUUUAGGGAGGGGUAGAAUUCCACGUGUAGCGGUGAAAUGCGUAGAGAUGUGGAGGAAUACCGAAGGCGAAGGCAGCCCCUUGGGAAUGUACUGACGCUCAUGUGCGAAAGCGUGGGGAGCAAACAGGAUUAGA
rnacentral:rRNA from 1 species